UCAAACUUGGUCAUUUAGAGGAAGUAAAAGUCGUAACAAGGUUUCCGUAGGUGAACCUGCGGAAGGAUCAUUAAUGAAAUCAACUUGGUUAGGUUGUUGCUGACCUUCUAGGAGGUAUUUUGUGCACACCUGACUUAAUGUUAUUUUAAACCACCUGUGCACCUUUUGUAGUCUUGAAUGAUUACUCGGGUUUUCAUUAACUCGGAUUUGAGGAUUGCUUUGAGUAGCUCUCCUUUCACUAUUCAAGUCUAUGUUUAUUAUACACUAUGUUUUUAAAAUAAACAAUGAAAUGGUUAUAACAUGUUAAUACAACUUUCAACAACGGAUCUCUUGGCUCUCGCAUCGAUGAAGAACGCAGC
rnacentral:misc_RNA from 1 species